UAAGAAAUUGUGUGAGAUAGAUGAGAGCCACUGAUGUGAUAGAUACUAGCGUGUGUGAGAUAGAUGAGAGCCACUGAUGUGAUAGAUACUAGCGUGUGUGAGAUAGAUGAGAGCCACUGAUGUGAUAGAUACUAGCGUGUGUGAGAUAGAUGAGAGCCACUGAUGUGAUAGAUAAUAGCAUGUGUGAGAUAGAUGAGAGCCACUGAUGUGAUAGAUACUAGCGUCUGUGAGAUAGAUGAGACCCACUGAUGUGAUAGAUACUAGCGUGUGUGAGAUAGAUGAGACCCACUGAUGUGAUAGAUACUAGCGUGUGUGAGAUAGAUGAGAGCCACUGAUGUGAUAGAUACUACCGUCUGUGAGAUAGAUGUGAGCCACUGAUGUGAUAGAUACUAGCGUGUGUGAGAUAGAUGUGAGCCACUGAUGUGAUAGAUACUAGCGUGUGUGAGAUAGAUGAGAGCCACUGAUGUGAUAGAUACUAGCGUGUGUGAGGUAGAUGAGAGCCACUGAUGUGAUAGAUACUAGCGUGUGUGCGGUAGAUGAGAACCACUGAUGUGAUAGAUACUAGCGUGUGUGAGACAGAUGAGAGCCACUGAUGUGAUAGAUACUAGCGUGUGUGAGAUAGAUGAGACCCACUGAUGUGAUAGAUACUAGCGUGUGUGAGGUAGAGGAGACCCACUGGUGUGAUAGAUUCUAGCGUGUGUGAGAUAGAUGUGAGCCACUGAUGUGAUAGAUACUAGCGUGUGUGAGACAGGUGAGAGCCACUGAUGUGAUAGAUACUAGCGUGUGUGUGGUAGAUGAGAGCCACAGAAGUGAUAGACACUAGCGUGUGUGAGAUAGAUGAGA